rnacentral:rRNA from 1 species
AGUGGCGGACGGGUGAGUAACACGUAAGAAUUUACCUUUAGGAGGGGGACAACAACUGGAAACGGUUGCUAAUACCCUAUAUGCUUUCGAGUGAAAUGGAAUUUCUGCCUAAAGAGAAGCUUGCGGCUGAUUAGCUUGUUGGUGAGGUAAUGGCUCACCAAGGCGACGAUCAGUAUCUGGUUUGAGAGGACGAUCAGACACACUGGAACUGAGACACGGUCCAGACUCCUACGGGAGGCAGCAGUGGGGAAUUUUCCGCAAUGGGCGAAAGCCUGACGGAGCAAUACCGCGUGAAGGAUGACGGCCUAUGGGUUGUAAACUUCUUUUUUCAGGGAGGAAUCAAUGACGUGUACCUGAAGAAUAAGCAUCGGCUAACUCCGUGCCAGCAGCCGCGGUAAGACGGAGGAUGCAAGUGUUAUCCGGAAUCACUGGGCGUAAAGCGUCUGUAGGUGGUCUUGUAAGUCAACUGUUAAAUCUUGAGGCUCAACCUCAAAAUCGCAGUCGAAACUAUUAGACUAGAGUAUAGUAGGGGUAAAGGGAAUUUCCAGUGGAGCGGUGAAAUGCGUAGAGAUUGGAAAGAACACCGAUGGCGAAGGCACUUUACUGGGCUAUUACUAACACUGAGAGACGAAAGCUAGGGUAGCAAAUGGGAUUAGAUACCCCAGUAGUCCUAGCCGUAAACAAUGGAUACUAGAUGUUG